CCUACGGGGGGCAGCAGUGAGGAAUAUUGGUCAAUGGGCUUACGCCUGAACCAGCCAAGUCGCGUGAGGGAAGACUGCCCUAUGGGUUGUAAACCUCUUUUGUCAGGGAGCAAUUGGCGCUACGUGUAGCGUUAUCGAGAGUACCUGAAGAAAAAGCAUCGGCUAACUCCGUGCCAGCAGCCGCGGUAAUACGGAGGAUGCGAGCGUUAUCCGGAUUGAUUGGGGUUAAAGGGUGCGUAGGCGGAAUGCCAAGUCAGCGGUAAAAUCGCGGGGCUCAACCUCGCUCCGCCGUUGAAACUGGCGUUCUUGAGGGGGCGAGAGGUAUGCGGAAUGCGUGGUGUAGCGGUGAAAUGCAUAGAUAUCACGCAGAACUCCGAUUGCGAAGGCAGCAUACCGGCGCCCAACUGACGCUGAAGCACGAAAGCGUGGGUAUCGAACAGGAUUAGAUACCCGUGUAGUC
rnacentral:rRNA from 1 species